rnacentral:misc_RNA from 1 species
AACGACACCGCGGGCGACGGCACCACCACCGCCACCGUGCUCGCCCAGGCGAUCGUGCGCGAAGGCGCCAAGUCGGUUGCCGCCGGCAUGAACCCGAUGGAUCUGAAGCGCGGCAUCGACCUCGCGGUCGAAGCGGUCGUUGCAGACCUCGUCAAGAACUCCAAGAAGGUCACGUCGAACGACGAGAUCGCCCAGGUCGGCACCAUCUCGGCCAACGGCGACAAGGAAAUCGGCGAUUUCCUCGCAAAAGCCAUGGCGGUCGGCAACGAAGGCGUCAUCACCGUUGAGGAAGCCAAGUCGCUCGACACCGAACUCGA